AUUAACGAAUAGAACAAAGCCCCGCGGGCUGAUGCUGGCUCCUCGGAGCACGUGCACGCCCGGUGGCGACUUCAUUCGCCCUUACCCCCUUGUGCACUCCAUGUAGGUCGCCGGUGGCCCCCCCUCGGGCCUCGACGCCUACGAAUUCGUCUUUGUACGCACCCCGAUCGCAUGUCUUAAGAGUAACGAUUAUAAUGUGAUAACACAAAAUACAACUUUCAACAACGGAUCUCUUGGCUCUCGCAUCGAUGAAGAACGCAGCGAAAUGCGAUAAGUAAUGUGAAUUGCAGAAUUCAGUGAAUCAUCGAAUCUUUGAACGCACCUUGCGCUCUUUGGCCAUUCCAAAGAGCAUGCCUGUUUGAGUGUCAUUUGAAUCCUCAAGGCCCCCCUCGCCCCUCGCGGCUUUGGGGGCUUUGGAUGUGGGAGCGCUGCGGGAGGGGACCUCUUUUGGCCUCCCCCGCUCUCCUCAAACGCAUCAGUAGGGCCUUCUCCCUCUCGGGUCUUUGCGGCGUUGAUAGUUGUCUACGCCUCAGCCCGUCCGGGUUCCCCACCUGCUUCCAAACCCAACAAAUGAUAACCCCUUUGACCUCAAAUCAGGUAGGACUACCC
rnacentral:rRNA from 1 species